AUUUGUUUAAAUAUAAUCACGAACAAUUAGUUAUAGAACAAUAUUCUGACUGCUAGCUCUGACGUUACGCGAAAAGAGAGAUACAUAAUUUAUUCAAAGAUG